UACGUAGGGGGGCUAGCGUUGUCCGGAAUCAUUGGGCGUAAAGCGCGCGUAGGCGGCCAGAUAAGUCCGGUGUGAAAGUCACAGGCUCAACCUGUGAAUGCCGCUGGAAACUGUCUGGCUAGAGUCCGGAAGAGGAGAGUGGAAUUCCUGGUGUAGCGGUGAAAAUGCGCAGAUAUCAGGAAGAACACCUAUGGCGAAAGCAGCUCUCUGGGGACGGUACUGACGCUGAGACGCGAAAAGCGUGGGGGAGCGAAACAGGAU
rnacentral:rRNA from 1 species